AUUGAAACACCGUUUCCCAUAUGGUCACCAAAGUUAAGCAAUGUCAUGCCUACUUGGUACUUAGAUGGGUGACCAUUUGGGAAUACCAGGUGCUGUAAG